AGGGUUGUGGCUCAGUGGUAGAGCACUUGCCUAGCAUGUAUGAGGCCCUGGGUUCAAUUCCAGGCACCACAU
rnacentral:tRNA from 1 species